rnacentral:misc_RNA from 1 species
GUAGGUGAACCUGCGGAAGGAUCAUUACAAAUCUUUUGUGUGGUGGUGGGGUUAGUGGUUGGGGGAGUGGUGGUGGUGCUGGUUAAUUUCCAGCCUCAUCCCACUCACUCACUCGCACCCAUUCACCCACAACAUAUGCACAGGGCCGCAAGGCUCUGAUGUUUACGCUUGUUUGUUUGACAGAUUUAUAUGUGAUUAAAAUUUGACAACUGUUAACAAUGGAUCUCUUGGCUCUUGCAUCGAUGAAGAA